AGAGAGUGGGAGGUGACAAAAGAUGAGGUCAGUGGGGGAGGAGAGGAAGGGGAAGCAGGCCCCAGGCCUGGAAAGCCCCCUUAAGACCUGUCAGUUUAUCUUAAGGAUAGAGAGAAGGUUAGAAGCAUAUUGCAAAGACAGAGAUAUUCACAUUUACAUUUCAGAAAGCCAGAAAGAGGGGCUGGGUGGGGCACAACUUCCUUGGGAGCUAGCUGGAGACAGACGGUCAGGAGGGAGAGGAUGGGGGCCUGUGGGGUGAGCUGGCAGCCAUGGAGAUGAACUGAAGGCUGACUGGUCACUGAGGCGUGGACAGUGGUAAUUGUCCCUGAGCUAGAGGGUACUGGAGUGGGGAAGGGUGAUGGUUGGGCCAAGUUAAGUGUUGAAGAAACCAAAACAUAGUGUUUAAGAACUUGGACUCUAUUGACCUCUCCAGGUCUCAGUUUCCUCCUCUGCAAAAUGGGGGUGAUAAUAAAAGUAUCCCCUAUUGUUGCUGGGAAGGUUGAGUUAGUGAGUGUGAAAUGCUUAGCAAAGUACGUAAAACCUUUCAUUACUGGCUUUUAUCAUCACGAGGCUAUGACGAUUAUUGUGGUAGGGAAGAGGGUUUCCCAAGGGGAGACAUCCCGGAGGGUGUGCGGGGCUGGAUCUCAGGAGAAAGUUCUGGGUGGGAGAUGAGUUUUGGAACCCCUGGCAGACAUGCUGGAUGAGGACCUUUUGGGAGCAUGAAGAGGAAGGAGAAAAAUGGGCCUGGGGUGGGUCGCAGGGAAAUGCUGGUGUUGGCCACAGAGUCAGGGCUCAAGAGGAUUGGGGAGGAAGGUGCCCUCAGAGGAGAGAGAAGGGCCCGGGGAACAGGCAGCCUGGAGAGAAGGAGCAUGGGCUGUGUUGUCGAGUGAUACUGAGUAAGGCUUGAGUUUCACCCUUGGUGGGUGAGAGUGAACAAAACAAGAAUACUGGAUGAGUAAGAUUCCAUCUCUUCUCUCAAGCCGCCCAAUAUGCUUCCACGAUGCUUCAGCGAAAGACCCAGGAGUGAUAUUCAAAAUAUGGGAUUGCUCAGGCACUGACCGAGGCUUAGCUGGAGUGGGUCCCAGAGGUCCCCUGAGGUGCCCCGCCUGACUUCACAGCUGCAGGAUCAUGGCCAGAAGACCCCCCAGCUCCUGGCGCACCUGUUAACAGAAGGACUCUGUGAGCCAUCGCUGCAGAGAGAAGGAAUGGUGAGGCUGCAGGCACCACUGAACCACUUCAAGAAAGCCACCAAAGCCAGAAAGGAC